rnacentral:lncRNA from 1 species
GUAUCCACAUGAGGCUUCAAUCUAAUGAGAAGCUUCUUGAUCUCAUCAGGGUCUUAGCUUCUUUACAGAGAUCACAUCUUGAUGGUUGAAAACUCUUCGCUUCUCUUAAGACUCUCUUAGAGAAAAAGAAGAGAAUAGGAGGAUGAUGAUCUCUACGCUAGAGAUCAUAAAAAGAAUACUUUCUUCUCUUUCUUCUUAAAACCCAUGCAUAAAAAUUUUUAUGCUAGAGAUCUAAGAAUAUAUAUCCAACUCUUGGACAAAGGGG